rnacentral:tRNA from 1 species
GGGGCUAUAGCGCAGUUGGGAGCGCGCUUGACUGGCAGUCAAGAGGUCAGGGGUUCGAACCCCCUUAGCUCCACCA